rnacentral:rRNA from 1 species
CGAGUGAAGCGGCAAAAGCUCAAAUUUGAAACCCUCGGGAUUGUAAUUUGAAGAUUUGGCAUUGGAGAAAGCUAACCCAAGUUGCUUGGAAUAGUACGUCAUAGAGGGUGACAACCCCGUCUGGCUAACCGUUCUCCAUGUAUUGCCUUAUCAAAGAGUCGAGUUGUUUGGGAAUGCAGCUCAAAGUGGGUGGUAAACUCCAUCUAAAGCUAAAUACUGGUGAGAGACCGAUAGCGAACAAGUACUGUGAAGGAAAGGUGAAAAGAACUUUGAAAAGAGAGUGAAAUAGUAUGUGAAAUUGUUGAUAGGGAAGGAAAUGAGUGGAGAGUGGCCGAGGUUUCAGCCGCCCCUCGUGGGCGGUGUACUGCCGACGCCGAGUCAUCGAUAGCGAGACGAGGGUUACAAAUGGGAGCGCCUUCGGGCGUUCUCCCCUAACCCUCCACACUGCC